rnacentral:lncRNA from 1 species
UAAUUGUGGUACAGUCAAGUGGGGUGCAUUAGGGGUUUCUCGUUAGCAGCAUAGGGCAAAGUUUUGGGGUUUCUCGUUAGCAGCAUAGGGCAAAGUUUUUCUUCUGGAAGGUAGGCAGAGUGCUGCAUUGUGGCUCCGGAAUUCCCAAACUGGAGGGCUUGUGGGCCAGGAGUGUGAGGACGGAAGUCUGAGAACACAAGCUAGGCUUAGGUUUCGAGGCGAGGGCACAGCAGGAACACUCUGAAGAGCUGAAUCGAGAUCUCGUGCAUUUGAAGUCAGGGAAGGAUCAGACGUUGGCUCAGGCUGGAGUUUCUGUCCAUGAU